rnacentral:lncRNA from 1 species
UAUAAUAUUAUCUUUUAUUUUUUUUGUUAUAGUGGUGAUAAAAUUAAAACCAUAAAGUAUUGAAGUAAAAAUUUGAUAAAUCACGUGUGCUGAAAUGAAUAUUCAAUAAACCAUAGAUGACAUAUCUGAAGUUUUUUUAAUAUGAUUUAAUGGAGAGUUAACGGAGGUGUUGACGGAAGAAAAAGAAAUAAAAUCAUAGGUACUAAAAUGAUAUAUUUUUAACUGUAGGAUAUUAAAAUAAAAAGAUAUGAAAUUAUAGGAAUAAUAUUUGAAGUUUAUCUUUUUUUUAGAUAAUAUGAAAAUGUUUAUUACAUAAUGGGUAUCAUUCCUUCAAGAGUUUAAUAAUUUUUUUUUUUCUAUGCUUAGUAUUAUAAAAAAAAGGUUGGUGAGAAUAGUGAGUAGAUAUAUAAGGUAGAGUAUAAAAUUUAUGCCAAUGAUGUGUAUCAUUCCUUUGAGAGUUUAACAAUUCUUUUCUUCUACUUUCAGUAUUGUGAAAAUGGGAAGUUGGUAUGAGAAGUGAGUGAAUAUAGAAGGUAGAGUAUAAAAUUUAUUCCAGUAUGUAUUGUUCUUUACACAUUUGUUUUUAUAAAAAUAAAAAGAGAGAAAAACUAAAAUACUAUUAAUUGUAGAGAAAUGUUAUACUAUCUUUAUUUUUUAGUCUUUGAAUAUCUAAAAUUCGAUAGUAUCUAUCUAUAGUUCUAUACUUAUACAUUAUUUUUCAUGAAGUCUUGCCACGUGGCGGUUCCUCCUUUAUCCGUACCUUCUUCUCUGUUCUCUAAUUACAACCCACACUCUUCAUCUCCCCACCAAGGAGUUACUAACGCAUCAUUAAUUUUAAUAAUUACGAUCUUAACCCACACUAUUCAUCUCCCCACCAAGGAAUUACUAACGCAUCAUUAAUUUUAAUAAUUACGAUAAUUCACACAAUUAGCACCACUAAAACCCCAUCAUCAUCAUCUCCUCAUUCUCCGAAACCAAAUACCACACUCCAACAAUGUCCUAUAUUAUAAACCAACUCUUCUUUCUAUUAUUCUUAUUAUUAUUCUCGAACGCGAGUACGAACCUGUCAACGCUGUUCGGGUCGAGCCAUGAUUGUUUGGGCGCGUUGUUUGUGUUCAGCGAAUGCUUAGAGGUUGUGGAGGGCGGGGCGAACGGGGCGAAUCGGGGUUGCUGCUACGGGCUCGGUCACGUGCUUAGCCGGAGC